CUUUAUUUACAAAAACAAGAGCGUGAGGAGGAAAGAUGGCGGACGAGGAGAAACUGCCGCCUGGCUGGGAAAAGCGCAUGAGCCGCCCCUCAGGCCGAGGGUACUACUUCAACCACAUCACUAACCCCAGCCAGUGGGAGCGGCCCAGCGGGAACAGCAGCAGUGGCGGCAAAAUCUGGCAGGGGGAGCCCGCCAGGGUCCGCCGCUCGCACCUGCUAGUGAAGCCAGUCAAGGCGGCCCUCGACCUGGCGGCAGGAAAUCACCCGGACCAAGGAGGAGGCCCUGGAGCUGAUCAGCGGCUACAUCCAGAAGAUCAAGGCAGGAGAGAAGGACUUUGAGUCUCCGGCCUCACAAUUCAGCGACUGCAGCUCGGCCAAGGCCAGGGGAGACCUGGGUGCCUUCAGCAAAGGUCAGAUGCAGAAGCCAUUUGAAGACCCCUGGUUUGCGCGGCGGACGGGGGAGAUGAGCGGGACAGUGUUCACGGAUUCCGGCAUCCACGUCAUUGUCCGCACGGAGUGAGGAUUGGGGGCCCAGGCCUGGCCUCGGGGUUCCCCCGCUGCCUGCUGGCCAGUGGCCGAACCCCCCACUCCCUGCCACUGUCACACAGUAUUUAUUGUUACCAAAAUGGCUGGGAGGGGGCCCUUCCAGACUGGGGGCCCUUCCAGACUGGGGGCCCUGGGGUUCCCCACUCCCUGUCAGUCCCCAGUUGGGGCUGCGACCUCCAGACUCUCCAUUAAGGAGUUGACUUCAGCAUGGGAGGGAGGCUCGCAGACCCAGGGCAAUGUGGUGGGAGGAGUGUUCCAAAGAGAAGAUCUGGUCAGCAGAGCCGCCCCAUGUCCCACCAGGUCCUGGAGGCAGAUGCGAGGGCCCAGAGUUGUUUGUAGUUAGGCCACGCUUCUCUGUUCAGUAGCAAAAGCAAACACUCGUGGGCCCAGCUGUGGGCCCUCUGAGCAACUUUGCAGCACCCUUUCACCCCCAAUUAAAUCCGGAACCACU
ensembl:lncRNA PIN1P1 peptidylprolyl cis/trans isomerase, NIMA-interacting 1 pseudogene 1